rnacentral:rRNA from 1 species
UACGUAGGGUGCGAGCGUUAAUCGGAAUUAUUGGGCGUAAAGAGCUCGUAGGCGGUGUGUCGCGUCGGCCGUGAAAACCUGCAGCUUAACUGUGGGCUUGCGGUCGAUACGGGCAUCACUGGAGUUCGGCAGGGGAGACUGGAAUUCCUGGUGUAGCGGUGAAAUGCGCAGAUAUCAGGAGGAACACCGGUGGCGAAGGCGGGUCUCUGGGGCCGAUACUGACGCUGGAGGAGC